AUUGGCGACCUGUGCAUCAAGUGAUGGACUUGCAAAGAGCUUUUGGUGGUCCGUUGGUUCUUUUGGUCAGGUGGUAAGUGAGGUCUUGGACCUAGGACUAUAGAUUGUCACAGGUGAUUUUUUUUUUUUUCGUUGAUGGAGGUUUUGGCAGUUUGUGUGAUUAUCUGGUGGGAGACAGUGGUCUCCAUAGUGAGUGUUAUUGUCUCGGUUGUCGGAACAACGUUUCAUAUUCGCUCGUGGUGAGCAGGUUGACGUUGUUGGUUAGUCAGAGAAUGUCUUUUCGGCCUAUGAAAAUACACUCCGGACUUGUGGUGUUGACUCGUGUUUCGUCUAUGUGAACCUUCUAUGUAGUCGAGUCGGUUACUGGUAUGCGGACCAAGGUUGAGUGUAUCUAGAGUUUCUGAGUGGAGAAUUUUUAUCUCAAAGUUGGUAAUUUGGGAUCUGAUAAUCCUAGUCGUGGGACUGUUUUUGUCCGCAGGUUAUAGGAUGGUGUUGAUCCCGGUGAGUUUUGAUCCGUAGAUUUUGGGUUGGUACCUUUUCCCUCGAUUUGUCCAGGUGGAACCGCAGUCCUAUUAUUCCCCUUCUUCGAAGGUUGAUAUAUCCAAAUGUAAUUGACCAUUACUCAGGGGUGAUACUGUAGUGGUGGAGUAAUAUCUGAAUUCGAUUACGGGGGAUAAUAUAAGGACUGAGAUUUUAGCAGUGCAGCUAAACUCUCUUUUGACGAUGUUUCUGUGUGUAAUUUAAUUACAUAAGCACUCGUCAAGUUUCAGGAGAAAAUGAGUUAGAACAGAGAAGUUACGCGAUCAUUAGUAUUCACUUAAGUGAAUAGUAAGUCCGGUUUUCCGGAGAAGCCACGGAGUACAGUUGGCUUUCGACG
rnacentral:lncRNA from 1 species